GGCAAAGCAUGGAUGAACUUGCCUUUGGGGAGGGGGAGAAAGGAAGCAGCACUGAGGUUGAGUACAGGUAAAAUGCUGAAAUUUUACCUGCACCAGCGUGCAUGCUGCUACUACGCUUCUUGAAAUUCUAAAUCAAAUGCUCAAAUUGUAUGCAAACUUUUAGAUGACCCAGCCGAAUAUAUAAUGAAAUAUUUGUUAGAUAAGUUAAAGAUCAGCCUCUUUUAAAAAGAACCUCACCCCCUAAUUAACAAUAAUCUCUCUCUAGUUUGAUAGAGA
rnacentral:misc_RNA from 1 species